UACGUAGGGGGCAAGCGUUGUCCGGAAUUAUUGGGCGUAAAGAGCGUGUAGGCGGUCCGGUAAGUCAGCUGUGAAAGUCAAGGGCUCAACCCUUGAAUGCCGGUUGAUACUGUCGGGCUAGAGUCCGGAAGAGGCGAGUGGAAUUCCCGGUGUAGCGGUGAAAUGCGCAGAUAUCGGGAGGAACACCGGUGGCGAAGGCGGGUCUCUGGGCCGAUACUGACGCUGAGGAGCGAAAGCGUGGGGAGCGAACAGG
rnacentral:rRNA from 1 species